UGUCACCAAAAGGCAAGCUUUUAUUUUCAAGCAUUUCUAGAAAUCAGCUUAUGCCAUUUACUCCAGCAGGAAUGGCAGUCAGCCAUACUGGAAAAUAUUAACAGUUCUAUCCAGUCUCAACAGAGACUCAUUGUCUCAGGAUAAAAACAUUUGUUUAAAUAUUAAACAGUGAAAUCUCGCUGGGUCAUUAAAGCCUAUAAAGAAAGAACAGGACGGAAAUUCAUUAAUAAUCUUAGACUUGAGCCAAGUGAGUGGCUCAGAUGCCAUUUGUCUUGAUGGCAUGUCAUGCACUCAGAGGAAGCGCUGCACAUCACACUCCCAGCUUCGUUCUCACACAAUGUUUACAGGCCUCUCGUGGUACGUGCCUUUCUUCUCAUAAAACAUGCAGAUGCUGAGUAAGAUCAAUCACUUUCAGUUUUCUCCAGGAUUGUCCUGAAUAACCUUGUGGGAGCCAAUCCUUGCUCACAAAUCCGACCCACCAGAGAAAAGAAUGCAGAGUCUGCAGAAACCAACCAGCUUCCCCUUGUGCUCAGGUUAAACUUUCCAACCUGAUGCCAGACCACAGAGAACAGCCGCUUCCUGGAAAUUAGGCAGCACUGAAAUGACCUUCAGCCAGUGUUGCCUUGGACACCGUUGCGGUGUGUUGGAACCAGCCACGGGGCUGCGUGUCUCUGUGCUGACCUCACUUAAGGGAAGGGCAAGGUCAGGAGGCCACGGAAGAGCCAAUUCGUGUGGCAACUCAAUCCUGGGUACGGCCUGUGAGAAGGAUACAGGGAGAGCUGUCAGAAGGGUCUCUAGAAAUUCCCAGGCUCCAGACAGAGGCUCCCCAUGGCACCAAGACACAGAUGCAAGGCUUCCAUCACCUUCAGGAAGUCUUCGAGAAAGAAGAGUUUUCCAGUCGAUGUAAAUGCUGCUGCAGAAAUAAUCAAACAAGGAAUGAUUGCAAUCUAUAAAACCAUGUGGCAUGAGAUUUUCUUUCUUUAUGUUGUAGAGUGUUUUUUUUCCUUGUCGAAGAAAAGAUUUCUCAGUAUUAGUCAUUAGGGAAUUAUAAGUGGAGAUACAUGUUCUUGCUUCCUUCUGACCACAGAAAUUUAUAUCUAGCAUCAAUCCCACCUGCCAAGAAGGGAAGAUGCAAAUUUUGCAAGACAAAAAUGUCACCUCCACUCCAUCCCACCUGGGUCAAAAAUAAUCAUCUCCUCUUCUGUGUAUGUUGACAUCAUUUUUGGUAGAAGUGGUGGUUCCCGUCUUGUAUUGGAGUUAGUGGGGAGUGCAUGUUUCUCCUCCACUGGCCUGUCAGUAUCUUUAGAGUGAAACUCUGUUGACUGCUUGAUUGUAUCCCCCAGCAAUUUCCCAACCUCCCUCACAUGUAGGCUCAGUAGCUAACUUAGAAGAGUUUUCUUUCAAAGACCAACAGCUUUCUCCAGGAGAAGUGGUGGUGGAUUCCAGGAACCUCCAGGGUAAUGAGAGAAUGUACUCACCCAGCCCUGUAGGCCCAGAAUGGCCCUGACAGACUCCAGCCUUUCUGGAAGGGAGGAGGGACAGAACAUCCUCGAGGGUUUAAAGAGAUGCUUAUUGAAGUAAUAAGCAACUGAUCAGGGUAACACCAAGUAUUUUCAUGAUUUUAGUACACCACAGAUAAUUUUGCUUUAUUAUCAAAAAAAUUAAGCUGUCAUGGGCUAGUGGUAUUUUAAUAUUUUUACUCAUGAAUGAUUAUAUGGAAUGUGACAUGCCUAGAAAGAGGCAGGAAUGAGUCAACAUUUUGUUUUCCCUCCAUAUGAAAUAAGUCAGCGGAAAAAAAGAAGUAAAAUUGAUAUUUAUAUAACAUGACAUCUUUAAUUGCAAAUAUUUUUGUUUUAAAAAAUAUGUGGACUUCUAAUGUGUAUGUACACCUAUGUAGAAACUAUAAGAACAAGCACCCUCCCUAACACAGACCAGAAAGAGAGGAAGCUCAGACAGAUCUGCAAGAUUGAAAUCAGAGUGAUUCUACUCCAUUUCUGGGUAGUCUAAGGCCUAACCCCAAACAGAAACAAUUGUAAUCUCAGAAAGUUUCACACUGAAAGACUAAAGCACACUGGUCUGAGAACUGCAGGUUGAAAUUCGCGCCCUGGAGAAUGACCAAAUUGGAAAGGAUAAGAGGAUUUGCUGUCACUCUAAAAUGAAUCUCAUUGGUUUGACUUCCCGGCCUCUAAAAGGCAUCAAUUGUGUCCAUAGAAUUUGACGAUAACUCCAUGUCACAGCCAGUACAGAAAAUAUAUUGUCUAAUAAAGUUUCCAGAAAUGAGCUCAUUGUACAGGCUCUUCAACAUCCUAUCAGUUUGAUCAAUGUUGCAUUUGGAUCUUUUCCUGAGCCACUGACUCAAGGAGAGACAUGCCUAAAGUGGAGAACAUGCACACAUGGCAACACACAGGAGGACACACAUUUAUAUCCACUUUCCAAACAUAAAACAGCAC